rnacentral:rRNA from 1 species
CACCAAGCCUUCGAUGGAUAGGGGUUCUGAGAGGAAGGUCCCCCACAUUGGAACUGAGACACGGUCCAAACUCCUACGGGAGGCAGCAGUGAGGAAUAUUGGUCAAUGGGCGCUAGCCUGAACCAGCCAAGUAGCGUGAAGGAUGAAGGCUCUAUGGGUCGUAAACUUCUUUUAUAUAAGAAUAAAGUGCAGUAUGUAUACUGUUUUGUAUGUAUUAUAUGAAUAAGGAUCGGCUAACUCCGUGCCAGCAGCCGCGGUAAUACGGAGGAUCCGAGCGUUAUCCGGAUUUAUUGGGUUUAAAGGGAGCGUAGGUGGACUGGUAAGUCAGUUGUGAAAGUUUGCGGCUCAACCGUAAAAUUGCAGUUGAUACUGUCAGUCUUGAGUACAGUAGAGGUGGGCGGAAUUCGUGGUGUAGCGGUGAAAUGCUUAGAUAUCACGAAGAACUCCGAUUGCGAAGGCAGCUCACUGGACUGCAACUGACACUGAUGCUCGAAAGUGUGGGUAUCAAACAGGAUUAGAUACCCUGGUAGUCCACACAGUAAACGAUGAAUACUCGCUGUUUGCGAUAUACAGUAAGCGGCCAAGCGAAAGCAUUAAGUAUUCCACCUGGGGAGUACGCCGGCAACGGUGAAACUCAAAGGAAUUGACGGGGGCCCGCACAAGCGGAGGAACAUGUGGUUUAAUUCGAUGAUACGCGAGGAACCUUACCCGGGCUUAAAUUGCAGUGGAAUGAUGUGGAAACAUGUCAGUGAGCAAUCACCGCUGUGAAGGUGCUGCAUGGUUGUCGUCAGCUCGUGCCGUGAGGUGUCGGCUUAAGUGCCAUAACGAGCGCAACCCUUAUCUUCAGUUACUAACAGGUCAUGCUGAGGACUCUGGAGAGACUGCCGUCGUAAGAUGUGAGGAAGGUGGGGAUGACGUCAAAUCAGCACGGCCCUUACGUCCGGGGCUACACACGUGUUACAAUGGGGGGUACAGAAGGCAGCUAGCGGGUGACCGUAUGCUAAUCCCAAAAUCCUCUCUCAGUUCGGAUCGAAGUCUGCAACCCGACUUCGUGAAGCUGGAUUCGCUAGUAAUCGCGCAUCAGCCACGGCGCGGUGAAUACGUUCCCGGGCCUUGUACACACCGCCCGUCAAGCCAUGGGAGCCGGGGGUACCUGAAGUACGUAACCGCAAGGAUCGUCCUAGGGUAAAACUGGUGACUGGGGCUAAGUCGUAACAAGGUAGCCGUACCGGAAGGUGCGGCUGGAACACCUCCUUU